UAACGCUCGCUCACACUAGGCCGACCCGACACCGAUUUCGGACUGCCGGCUGUCGGCGACAGCGUUUUCUACCUUCGUGUCGGCGCCUCACCGACGUGGAGCUCUCCGCCGAGCGGAGGCAGAUUGUCGGCGUCGGUACAGUGUGACAGAUGCGCCGACACGAAGGAAAAAAGGCUGUCGCCGACAGUCGGCAGACUGAAAUCGGUGUCGUGUCGGCCUAGUGUGAGUGAGCAUUUAGUAUGCUUUUGCCGUGCAGCAAAACAUUGCAGCUCAACCUGGUUGAAUAUAGCGUCGCAAAAUGUCGCGACCAUGCAGCGCUGCUGUUCGGGGAUCGUUCUCGGUGCUCCGGUCCCCUAUCGCGGUCCGCCGGAGUUUGCGCCUGCUGUGCAGCUACGUCUUGGCAGUGGUCCUGGUGCUGGUCACGCCGUUCUACCGCUAUUAUCGGUGCGCCCAGCAUCUGUUGCUCGGCUAUGCACUGGGCCUCGUGUGCGGGGCAUGCAGGUGCUGUCGGACCAGCCUGGGAAGAGAACGUCGCCGAACCGAGCACAUCGAUUCCACUUUCGAGACUACAGCUCUCCUUUUGGGCGCUGGUGUGCCUGCUUCCUCCUGGCUGUUACUUC